UCGCAAAGUGAGCGUGGAAGUUCCACCGA
rnacentral:sRNA from 1 species